rnacentral:rRNA from 1 species
GGGGUAUUCAGUUAUUCUACUACUCCUUUGGUCGUUUACUGUGAGAAAAUUAGAGUGUUCAAAGCGGGCGUUUGUUUGAAUAGAUUAGCAUGGAAUAAUGAUUGAAGGCUUUCGUGUUCGAUUUGAUUGGUUUGUUCAUGGAAGCAAGGUUAAAAGGAACAGUUGGGGGUAUUCAUAUUCACUAGUUAGAGGUGAAAUUCUCGGAUUUAUGGAAGAUGAACAGGUGCGAAAGCAUUUACCAAGGAUGUUUUCAUUAAUCAAGAACGAAAGCUAGGGGAUCGAAGAGGAUUAGAUACCCUCGUAGUCUUAGCUAUAAACGAUACCGACUAGGGGUUAGUAGAGGUCAAUGUGUCUCU